UACGUAGGGACCAAGCGUUGUUCGGAUUUACUGGGCGUAAAGGGCGCGUAGGCGGCAAUUCAAGUCAGCUGUGAAAUCUCCGGGCUUAACUCGGAACUGUCAGAUGAUACUGCUUUGCUAGAGUGCGGAAGGGGCAAUCGGAAUUCUUGGUGUAGCGGUGAAAUGCGUAGACAUCAAGAGGAACACCUGAGGUGAAGACGGGUUGCUGGGCAGACAAUGAAGCUGAGUGCGCGAAAGCCAGGGGAGCAAACGGG
rnacentral:rRNA from 1 species